GGAAGGGUGGGCACGGGAGGGGAGGGAGAGCCGAGCCGUGCCGAGCCGAGCCGUGGGGGCGGGCGGGAGGCGGCCGGAGCCCCGCUCCCCCGCCAGACCCUCGCCAAGCGGGCUCGGCAGGGGGGUGACGAGCGGAGAAAGGAGAAGGGGAAGGAGCAGGAGCAGGAGCAGGAGCAGGAGCAGGAGCAGGAGCAGGAGCAGGAACAGGAGCAGGAGCAGGGCGGGCUCCCCCCUCCGCCCCCCGGCUGGGCGGCCCCCGCGCGGUGCUGCUGCUGCUGAAGGUGAAGCUCCGGCUCUCCAAUUACUUUUCCCAAGAGGGAGAAGGAGGCAGCAGGAGGGGAAGGCGAGCCGUGUGGGGAAGGCAGGCCAAUCAGAGCCGCGGUAACGGAGGGAUUGCUGCAGGACGCCGCGGGUUUUCCUCCCGUCCUCCGCCGCCGGGACUGAAUCGGGACCGCAGGCAGCUGGCGGAGGGGCCGGAGCCGCACCGGGCUGCAGGACUUCCUCGCCCCACAGCCAGCCCCUACUUCUCCUCCUCCUCUCUGUGUUUUUAUUAUUUUAUUAUUAUUUUUUUUUAAAUACUCCGAGCCACUUCGAGUCUCCCCGCCCUCCCUCCCGCAUCCCCCCAGCCGGAUUCCCGCUCCGUUCCCCGACAGCCGGGGGACAGCCGGGCACCGACGGCCGCCUGCCUGCCCGCCUGCCUUUCCCCUCCGUGCCGAGCCGUGUCGAGCCGAGCCAAGGGGAGCCGAGGCGGGCGCGGUGCCGCUCCAUGCCCCCGGGCGCCGGCGAUGCCGGGGCGGUGAGGCCGGGGCUCCCCCUCGCCGGGAGGCGGCCGCUCGCGGGGUGCUGCCAGCUCGGAGCGGGGCUGCAGGAUGAAUAAGAGAUACUUACAGAAAGCAACAAAAGGAAAGCUGCUAAUAAUAAUAUUUGUUGUAACUCUGUGGGGGAAAUUAGCAUCUGGGGCAAAUCAUCAUAAAGCUCACCAUGUUAAAACCGGGACCUGUGAAGUGGUGGCACUCCACAGAUGUUGCAAUAAGAACAAGAUAGAAGAAAGAUCACAGACAGUGAAGUGCUCCUGCUUCCCUGGGCAGGUAGCAGGUACCACCCGGGCAGCUCCUUCUUGUGUUGAUGCUUCAAUAGUGGAGCAGAAAUGGUGGUGCCACAUGCAACCAUGUCUUGAAGGGGAGGAAUGUAAGGUUCUUCCAGAUCGUAAGGGAUGGAGCUGUUCCUCUGGGAAUAAAGUGAAAACAACUAGGGCAAACGUGUAAAACUCUUCCAGUCCGAAUGGAGAAGUAGAGAAAGGAGGUUUCUGCUGUGCCUGAUGACAAUUUUUGAUUUUUCCACACACACAAAAUAUUCUGGCUCCACGUUGGAGCACUAGUUGCACUAGUCUUGGUCGGAUUCUAAGGAAGGGCCAGAACGUUCGUUGAGGAAUAAAGAGUCAAACCACUCCAGAAAAUGUGUUCCAGCCCUGGUUUAUUACUCACAGAGCAGCAGGUAACCCGAUAGCUAAAGACAAAUCAAGUCAGUCUCAAGGCUGAUAACAUUAAAUGCCACACAUAGGAAUUUCAUUCCUCCAGGCAAUCGUUGAAGUGAAAUUUUAUACUGCUGGGGUUUAUCCUUCAGAAUCAAUGAGAACCUGGUUUGUGAUCAGCAACAGCCUUGAGAUCAAAACUACAGGAAAGUUAUUUUGAACUUCUGUGUCACAAAGAUUUCAAUGGCUUGAACUGUAUACACUUGUAAAAUUGCACUUGCUGAGGAAUUUGCAGCUGUAACCUCAAGAGGUGAUAUUCAAAAUGUGCAGAAAAGCAGCAAUCAUUCGGAUUCUCCAUUCCAGACCAGUGACUUCAUCACCCUGAUGAAACCAACCUCCGAAAUGUAUUGGUUCCUUCUCUUUAAAAUGAUCCCUGGUCCACCAUUCAGAUUGCUGGUGGGACUGCACACUGCUUUAAUUAAAUUUCCGUUGCAGAAUUUGUCCUCUGGCAUGGCGCAGUUUUAGACAUUUUUAUCUGUAUUCUAAUCUUGGAGCUCUGAAGGGUACAUAUUUCAACAUCUUGAAGUUGCUUUUGUUAUAGGAAUGGAAAUAUAUAUCCACUGUUAAUAAUUAUUGUUGACAAGUAAUAGUUAUCGGAAUACAUCAGUCAUAUUAGAAUGUAUAGUCAGGUUGACAUGUUUCCCUAAGGCUAACCAACUACUGCAGCUCUUUGGCAGUUAAAAAAGUAGUGGUCAAAACUCAAUUACCACUUCCAUUAUAAGGCAUUUUAUAACUUUAAAAUAUACAUUUCAAUUUAGUUUGAAGGAAAUGAGUGUUCCUGUACUUUACUUUCCUAACCUUUAAUUCAUUGAAAUUCAUGGUAAGCAGUGAAAGACAGUAUUUCAUCCCUUUUUGUAAAGGUAGGCAGGGUUGUAAAUGAGGUUUGCAAUUAUGAAAUUAGAUGGUAAUCAUUCAGAAUUUGUCUCUUUUUAUUAAAAAAUAAAAUCUCUUGCUUGAAACUAAGUACUGUUGGAUGCUUAUGUAGACGUCUGCUCACUCUCUUUGGUAUAAAGGAAAAAAGUCCUAGUGCCCUCCCAGAUUCACAGUUCAUGAGUAUUUUGCUUGCUUACUGUCAUCCAAUUCAUACCUGAUCCAUGCCAAAAUCACAUUUACUUUUUUUUUUUUUUUUAAUUUUCCAUUUCAGUAGCAAUUUUUUGAACUUUGUGAUGUGCUAGUACAUGAAAAAUAAUCCUCAAUAUUUAAAGGCCUUAAGCGUCUAUGAGCUUUUUACUAAGUUAUUACAGAAUGUAUAAUUUUAUACUCCAUUUAAUGUAUAUUGUACCAUCUGUAAUAUUGAUCGAACAGAAAUUUGGCAAUUCCUUUUAGUGACACUACCUAAGCACGCUGGCUUACAGAGUAAGGGAGUUCUGACUGUAUGCUUUGGUGCAUUAAGUGAAAACCACACACACUUAGUGGUAGGCAAAAUAUAUAUAGGGUCAAGCUUAUUUAAAAGUCCUGUGUGGUUACCAGACUCCCAGAAAAAAGAGAGAAACAAUUUUAUCAUUACAAGCCAUUGACAUGGCUAGGUAGUUUUAUAUUAAGUUCCAUGAUGGAUGAACACCCUGGAGUGCUCUGCCUCUCACGGAAUCCCCUGCUGUUCCCAAACCAUUUCAUUACCUCUGUUGUAUUACUGCACAGGAGAGUUAAAUAAAAUAAAUGAUUGUUUGGAAUAAAAUUGAGGAGUAUAUUCUAUCAUUCUGCUGAAAAAUAAUCAGAAAUGUUGUCAGAGAAAGAUAUUCUUUUCUGAUUAAAUUUUAAUUAGGAUAAACUGUAGCAGCAACUAGGUAUCUCAGUAUGUUAGGAUGGAUUAAUAUUGUAUGGAUUUGUGCUAGCAGGUGCAGGACAGAAGGUAGCAUCUUAAAAAGAUUGAGACAGUACAAAGUAUAAAUGUGCUAUUUUGUGAAAUCUGAAUAUGGCCUGUCUUUGGUCAAAAAUCUGCAUCUUGCUUCUCAGUAUUUGUUUUAUUUGGUUCUUUGUUCUUAAACCAACAUUGAAAAUACUGUAUUAUAUACAAGUGUAACACAUGCAUAUCAAUAAGUGAAAAUAAAUGGAUUUUCAAAUAUACUGAAUAGAUUAUCUACAGUAGAUUACUGUUGUGAAUAUUCAUGACAAGUGAAUAAAAUUGUGAUAUAAAAUAGAGUAACCUACAUGGAUGUUCGCUUUGAAGAUCUAUUCUGUUUACCCGUGUAACAAAAUUAUUUUGUUUAAUGAGUAGGAAUCUCAAGGGUUAUAUUAAUUCUUUAUUUCUUCAGUAGGGCUGGGCAUAUCUCCCACCACUUUGAAAGGUCCUUCUCCAAAGGAAGUUGAUCAAAUGCAACUGUUCUAGCAUUAUCAUGGGGAAUUCAAGUGAGCAUAUUGUUGUUUUCAGACAAGAUUGAAUACAACUAUUGUUUCUUUUUUUUUUUUCCCCCCAGAAAAUUCAUGAAAAAUUCUAAUUUAUGCCUUUUCAGUAUCAACAUAACAUGGUAGAUAUUCUUGAAAUGGUAAUGUUUCAGUUUAAUUUGUUGAACUGUUAAAAAACAAUCAAACCAGUUCAACACUGAUCUCUGGUGGUCCAUCUCAGAGCAAGCUGGAAAGCUCAGAUGUCCAUAGUGUCUGUUUUAGUAGACAGUGUCUGUCUUUGGACAGAGUAUGUGUGACUAGAUACAUUGUGAGUAUUCAUAUCGUAGGAAUCUGGAGAUUAAUUCUGCUUCAAUUUAUUUUAUGUUUUAUUCCUUAUAUUCUACUUCCUAGAUUAUUUGAUGUACCCAGCUUCAUCUGAUGACAAAGAUGAUCAGGCAUAAUAAUCAGAGGAAAAUCCAUGUUACCUUUCGAAUUUAGUAAUCUUCAAGAGCUCUGAAUCAUAGGAGAUUAUGUGGUCUCAGUCUGCAGUUCCAUAUGGCAAUGCACUCUCAGGGAAAGAAAAUUCACUGCUUUGUUCAAGCUUUUUGAAAUGACAUGCAUUAGAUUAGUUCAACUAAACAAAAAGGAAAUCUUGAUACGAGUCUUAAUGAAAAAAUUUCCAAAAUGGAUCUAGUAAAUAUAAAAUAGGGCUUAAAAAACAUUAAAAAAAAUCUGCAUCAGAUAGGUGUGUACUGAAACUAAAAUUGUAUUAUAAAGCUUGAUAUUUUGUUAGGUUUCAUAAAAAUCUAAGCAGUUUUGUUGUUGUUGUUGUUGUAGUUUUUUCCACAUUAUGAUUGUAUGGCUGGCUUUUAUAGCUAUCCAGAUAAUGCAUGGAUGUCUGUAACAACAAAAAAGAAAAAUGUGAUUGGCAUCCUUUUCUGUUGAUUUACUGCCUCCUCCUUCAUGCCCUGAAUUUUACAAAUCUGUUGUUAACCAAGAUAUUGACAAGGGAAAGGAACGUAGUUUUGGGCUAUAACAGCAACGUUGCCGUAAUCUCUAGUUUCUUUCUGCCAAUAGAUAGAUAGCUCUAUAAAAAAACAUGUCACACCUGAACAAUCUGAUGUCACUAAAUGAUUUCUCAUGG